rnacentral:rRNA from 1 species
CCUACGGGUGGCUGCAGUGGGGAAUAUUGGACAAUGGGCGAAAGCCUGAUCCAGCCAUGCCGCGUGUGUGAAGAAGGCCUUCGGGUUGUAAAGCACUUUCAGUGGGGAAGAAAGCCUUGGGGCUAAUACCCUCGAGGAAGGACAUCACCCACAGAAGAAGCACCGGCUAACUCCGUGCCAGCAGCCGCGGUAAUACGGAGGGUGCGAGCGUUAAUCGGAAUUACUGGGCGUAAAGCGCGCGUAGGCGGUCUGAUAAGCCGGUUGUGAAAGCCCCGGGCUCAACCUGGGAACAGCAUCCGGAACUGUCAGGCUAGAGUGCAGGAGAGGAAGGUAGAAUUCCCGGUGUAGCGGUGAAAUGCGUAGAGAUCGGGAGGAAUACCAGUGGCGAAGGCGGCCUUCUGGACUGACACUGACGCUGAGGUGCGAAAGCGUGGGUAGCAAACAGGAUUAGAUACCCGAUUAGUC